rnacentral:lncRNA from 1 species
UUAAAAAUGAUAAAAUAUCAUGCGUCUUAUUUUCAUAGUAGGCAAAUAAUGUAAGAGAAGACAUACUAAGUUAGCAAAGUGGACAUGCAUUCUCAUGAUCGAAUCUAUCUCAGAAUGUAAGAGAAACAAAAACCAUGACCCAGAAGACCAUUAUUCUCUAAAACAGCUCAGACAUCAAAUUCAUAUGCAAGAAACCAGAACCUCAAUAUCCCAGAAGACUAGUUCAUUCAUAAAAUGCAUCGAAUACAUCCGUUUCAACCAAGCAAAAUCUCUAUGACUCGGGACACUAGUUUAUUCAUAAAAUGCAACCAAUACCUCAAUUUCAUAUAUGAGAAAACACCAAUUUUGUACACAGGAAAGUAAAAUCCUGGAAUACCAUUUCACUUAUAAAAUACAAUCAACUGGACAUUCAACCUUUAAUCAUAGCAAAACAUUACUACAAAGAAUUUCAUUGUAAAAAGGAAAAACUUUGACACGGAUGGAGUCAAGAACAUUAAAACAAAAUUACAGGGAUUUCAAUAGAGUUUAAAACCAUAAGCAAGCAAUGAGCAAGAAAAUCAACCAAACAAUCUUACAAAACCAUACAUUACCAAAAUAAAGUUCUUUUCUUUGUUCAAAAUAUGUAAGAUAUAGGAAUUAGGAGAAAGGAACGGGCAAAAGGGAGUCAGGAUACUUUCCAAAAUAUAAUUACGAAAGUAAACCUUUUCAAUAACAGUAACAUUAUUUACAGUUAACACAUAGAGAGAAAGGUACAACUUAUAACUUCAAGAGGAGCAUGCUGAAGCUCGCCUUCGUCUUUUCUUUGCUCCAUUCGAAAUGAAUUUUCAAUAGGGAUAAAGAGAAGGCCUUUGGGGGUUCAUAGGGCUGGCGACCUUAUCGCAAGCAAACACCCGUUAUCUCCCUUAGGUCUAAAGGCCAAGAGAACUAAAAGGUAGCCUGAUGAGGUCUCUAAAACCGCCACUGAUAACCUUACUAUAGAAACAAGAAUCAAUGAAGACGCAAAGAAAACAAACCAAGACACUGCCUUACUAAUAAAACAUAUCGAGACUACAUGAAAAAGAUUCAACUAAAGCAAGGAGAAUUAACUAUAAUGUUUAAGUAACCACGUGCCGGGAGUUUAGUAAAAUUUGAUGCUAUAAUAAUUUCAAGAGCGACACCAACCAUAAAUUAAGAGAUUGGACCUCAAACUUGAGGCCAGAAUGGGAAGUGAUGAAUCAAAAAAACCAUUUUUAGUCUAGAACUGAAAACUUUCUCCACAUAAAUCAUUUAAUCUCAAUCGUGAAUUAGACAAGAACAGUGCACAUUUCGACGAUAUAUAUACACCGACUGACAAUCGCUAAAUCAGUUUAUAAUUAAACAAUUACAGUCGCUUAACACCAUUAACACGCAACAACGAACUUGUUCAAAAAUUGAACCGAAGAUUAUAACGCAAUCAUUGUUUCCAAGAAAGCAACACAUAACAAAUUACUCCUAUGAAUUCCAUAGCCAUCUACAGCUAUUCCCAGCAAACAACGCUAUAAUUACAUUAGAAAGGGGAUAAAACAGAGGAAACAAAAAACGAUAACAGCAAUAAUAGUAGAAAAAAGUGUUUUACCUCUUUUGGAGCAGCAAAACAGGGCAACGAGCUAACACCAGACUCUACCACUGGAGGAUUUUUUUGCAACUCCGAAAGCUCCGAGCAGUCCCCAACCUUUCUCGGAAAGAAGAAAAUUUUAUACUCAAAACAAAAUAUACUGGUGUUUGCUCAAAA